CAAAAAACAAACCGCAUACAACCAACCACGUUGUUGCUACCUUUUUGAAUUGCUGUUGCUGACUGUCGAACCACUUAACAUGAAUCGUCUCUGAUAUCGAUCGAAUCAAACAAUGCAAUCGAUGUCUGUUCAAUCGUUCACGGCUUUUGUUUAUGGUGCUUUUUGAUUUAAUUCUCCCGCCAAAAUAAAAUAAAUAAUACAUGUAAAUUCAGUGACAUUUUACAACAAGCCAAAAGUUAAAGAUAUGUAAACUGAUAACAAAACAUACUGCUUAUCGGAGCUAAUCAAAAUUCCUUUUUGCUGAAUGUUGGAGUGUAUUUUUAGAAAUUUUUGUCAUUUCUAUUUUAUUUUUCAUAUCACUUUAUCAGAUCUUAACGAUCCACGAUCGCAAUAGUGUUAGACA
rnacentral:rRNA from 1 species